rnacentral:misc_RNA from 1 species
GUUAGUAAACUGUGAUGGAUUAUAUCAACAAAUGACAGCGUAGGAAGUCUGACUGAGAGAAAAGGUUAUCUUUGUACGUGAUAAUGAAUCAUCCACUUGUGUACUGUGUCUUGGUGUUGUGGAAGUGACUCUUAUGUGUUAUUUCGCAUAUAUAGUGCUAAAAAAUAGUUAAAAUGAAGCAAAGAGGAGUGUGGUAUAGAUACAGAGCGUCGCAGAUGAUGAUUGUUUGUUGGGCAGCCAUCUGGACGUUGUGUACUGCUGACCCACAUCAACGAACCUUUUCACGGGACCAUCAUCACCUUCAUCAUCCCAGCAGACAACAACUUCAGAACCAUCCAUUACGCUCUCACACAAGUGGUCUUAAGUUAUGGAGCAAAAUCAUUCCAGAUCUCCAAGCACAAAGAAAAUCAUAUGAUGGAGCCCACAGUUCUCAAACCUGGUAUGACAAUAACCCUGUUAAGCAAGAGGGAAUGGAAGGGUAUGGACGUCAUGAACGAUCCCCCAUAGUUGAUAGAAGUGUUUCAGAUACCAAAUUUGACAUUGAAGUGAUUGAAGGAACGUUUGGUGAUACUUUAACUCAACACAUUAACAAGACUUCUGAAUACUUGUUUGAAUACAUCUAUAAUACAUCUGCACUGAAGACAAAUGCUGUGCGUGUCACAGUGACCAGCCCUAGGAGUGGAUAUGCAUACCCAUUAUUGGUUGUAGUGCGGCAACAACGAGGGGUCCUGUCUUGGCAGAUUCCUCUGGAGCCUCCACCCAAUACACAGAUUAUGGAGGAGUACUACACUGUGUCUCAUACCCUGUGUCCUGCCAAGAACUACAAAGUUUCCGUUCAAGGCAUCCCGGACACAACCCAGCGUCUCUUCAUUGAUGUUUCAACAUCAUCACCAUCAAAUGUGACUUUUACAGUUAAUGUUGAUUUUGAAAAACAAUUUUUGAUUGAUUUACACACCUCCAGCACCACCAGGGUGUUCGAUGUAACACCAUCACAACCUGUGUUUUAUGAGUUCAUGUUCCCAGAAGAUGUAGACAUGGUAUUGGUGAAGGUGAAUGCUGAGGAUGACUUCUGUGCCAUGGUCGCUAUUCAGAAUAUCACAUGUCCAGUGUUUGACAGUGAAGAGAAUGUUGAGUAUGGCAACUCCUACCAGACCAUGACCUACCAAGCUGGUAUUACAGUCAGGAAACUAGAUUACCCCAAUGGUUUGUAUAUACUGGUGGUAAUGCUGUCGACUGACGAAGCUUGCUCUGCCACAUUCCAACACGUAUAUCGCAAUAGGAAGAAAACAGUCACACUCACCAUCGAGGAAAAGAUUACCAAGCUAGAAUAUCUUGCCGCCAUCUUUGCCGGCCUUGGUUACUGUGCGUUUUUUUACAUUGUAACACUCGUCUUGGCUUGUAUAUCAUAUGUCAGAGCAAAGAGGAAACAGCCUCGUGAACGUAGUCUGUUGGAUGACUCCAUCUUGGGAACACCAGAGGAUCAUAAUUCCCCAGGGCCAUCACCCUCUUACAGAGCUGUCAGCACCAGUGAAGAGCACUACCCACCACUGCCUCACACCGCCUCAGAUUCCUCACUGGAUGAAGAUGACAUUGACAUGCUCACUGAUGCAGAGAGUGAUAAGGAUAUUUUCAGGACCAAGACUUUCUUGUAUGUAAGUGACUUGGCUCGAAAGGACAUGCGGGUCUUGACCAAGAAGUCACAGUUGUACAUAUGGGGUCUCCUAACUGUUGGAGUUUUUUAUGCUGUUCCUGUGAUUCAGCUGGUCAUAACAUACCAGAAGGUCCUGGAUGAGACUGGAAAUCAAGAUCUGUGUUUUUACAACUUCUGGUGUGCCCAUCCCCUUGGCCCCUUGAGUGACUUUAAUCAUGUCUUCUCAAACAUUGGUUAUAUCCUCUUUGGCAUAUUAUUUAUAGUUGUGUGUAUUCGUCGGAAUCAUCACCAUAAGCUCGUUGUACAAGCUGAUUACAAGAUUGAUAAGUAUUAUGGCAUUCCUCAGCACUUUGGAAUAUUCUAUGCCAUGGGUGGGUCACUCAUUAUGGAAGGUUUUCUCAGUGCCUGCUACCAUAUAUGCCCCAAUAACUCUAACUACCAGUUUGAUACAUCGUUCAUGUACGUUAUUUCGGUGCUCUCCAUGCUCAAGAUCUACCAGACACGUCACCCUGAUAUCAAUGCCAGUGCCAGUGCGGUAUUUGCUGCUUUGGCUGCAGCAGUCCUCCUUGGGGUCAUUGGUGUCUUAGCAGGGACUCUUGUGUUUUUGAUCAUAUUUGGCCUCAUACAUGUGAUAUCAUGCCUCCUGCUGUCAUGUCACGUGUAUUACAUGGGCAGGUGGAAGUGCGAUUUAGGGCUUUUCAAACGUAUGAAAACUUGGUGUUUAAGUGAACUCAGUGACUGGCGACAAAUUUGCCGUCCCAUGUAUUGUGAUCGCAUGGUGUUGUUGCUGAUAGGGAAUGCAGCAAAUUGGGGUUUGGCCAUCUAUGGAAUAGUAUCCACUCCCAAAGAUUUUGCCUCUUACCUGCUCAUUAUAUUCCUCACCAACCUGCUCCUGUAUAUUGCAUUCUACAUCAUAAUGAAGCUACGACACAGUGAAAGAAUACAGUUCCAGCCACUUGUGUACCUGGUCCUGUGUCUGUUAAGUUGGGGAGCAGCCAUCUUCUUUUAUACUCAUCACACGACCACUUGGGAGUUAACACCAGCACACAGCCGCCAGUAUAACCAGGAGUGUGUCUUGUUACACUUCUAUGAUACUCAUGACAUUUGGCACUUUUUAUCUGCUGGUGCCAUGUUCUUUGGAUUUAUGCUCCUCCUCACUCUGGAUGACGACUUAGCUCACACUCCACGAGAAAAAAUUCCAGUCUUCUAAGAAAACGAGCACUUGUUGCUUUUCUUCAGUUGUUUCUGUUGAGGUCUUCUACAAGAAAUUUUCCAGCAUUUGCUUUUCAUUUUUCAUCCAUGAGAUUAUUUACUGUUGUUUAAUAUUUUGGUAUAAAUAUUCUUUCAUUCAAGCAAAAAAUACUUGAGUGAACCAAAAAUCAGUGACCAGAGCAUCUCAGAGUUUGAAAAAGGCGAAUUGUGCACGUUAACCGAGGGACCACUGUAUACCAGUAAUAGAAGUAACAAAACAUUAAAUAUAUACCUAAGACAGUACUGUACUGUACAUUAUACUGUACAAUA